rnacentral:rRNA from 1 species
AAGGGCGCACUUAUUAGGCCUGAAACCAACUUCGGUUAACGCCGAAUUGGCGGACGACGCCCGAGUAAUUGCCGCCGAUCGCAUCGGCCACGAGCCGGCGACGCCACCAUCGAGUUUCUGAUCUAUCACGCUGACGUUGGUUCGUGCUCGGCGAACCAUGGCGCUUACGGAUAACAGAGAAUCUGGGUUCGAUUCUGGAGAGGCCGCCUGAGAAACGGCGACCACUUCCAAGGAAGGCAGCAGGCACGCAAAUUACCCACUUCCGAUACGGAGAGGUAGUGACGAGAAAUACCGAUACGGCACUCGCUAAGAGACGCCGUAAUCGGAAUGAGAGCGACUCAAAAUCCCCAACGAGGAUCCACUGGAGGGAAAGCCUGGUGCCAGCAGCCGCGGUAAUUCCAGCUCCAGCAGCGUAUGUUUAUAUUGCUGCGUUUAAAAAGCUCGUAGUUGGACCGUCGGACACGGGAGGGCGGUCGGCCUAAGCGCCGCACUGCUCGGACCGUACCAAGCGCGGUCGGCACCGUCGUCGGCACUUGACUGUGUGGGCGCGCGGUCCGCCGCAUAUUCACCUUGAAGAAAGUGAACCGCUCAAAGGAGGCGCACUGCUCGAACGAUACAGCAUGGUAUGAUGGAACAAGCGCUCGGGUUGCUUUGUUGGUUGCACGACCACGAGCGAAUGAUUAAGAGGGACUGCCGGGGGCAUUCGUACUCGCGGGGGAGAGGUGAAAUUCAGAGAUCCUGCGAAGACGUCCUACUGCGAAAGCAUUUGCCAAGAAUGUUUUCAUUAAUCAAGAACGAAAGUUGGAGGCGCGAAGGCGAUCAGAUACCGCCGUAGUUCCAACCGUAAACGAUGCCAACUGGUCAUUGGCGGUUCUUCGUCGCAAGAAGCCGCCAGCAGCGCCCGGGAAACCAAAGUCAUUGGGUUCCGGGGGGAGUAUGGUUGCAAAGCUGAAACUUAAAGGAAUUGACGGAAGGGCACCACCAGGAGUGGAGCUUGCGGCUUAAUUUGACUCAACACGGGAAACCUCACCCGGCCCGGACACUGUUAUGACAGACAGAUUGAGAGCUCUUUCUCGAUUCGGUGGUUGGUGGUGCAUGGCCGUUCUUAGUUCGUGGAGCGAUUUGUCUGGUUAAUUCCGAUAACGAACGAGACGCACGCCUGCUAAAUAGACGACGCUGGCUCCGGUCGGCGAUCGAUCUCGCUUCUUAGAGGGACAAGCGGCGCCCAGCCGCGUGAAGCUGUGCGCAAUAACAGGUCAGUGAUGCCCUUAGAUGUUCGGGGCCGCACGCGCGCUACACUGUCGGCAUCAGCGUGACACCCGCGUCGAGAGGCGCGGGCAACCCGUUGAACCGUCGACGUGCUAGGGAUCGGGGCUUGCAAUUGUUCCCCGUGAACGAGGAAUUCCUUGUAGAGGCGCGUCAUCAGCGCGCCUCGAAUCCGUCCCUGCCCUUUGUACACACCGCCCGUCGCUACUACCGAUCGAAUGGAUUAGUGAGGCCUCCGGACUGCUGCUCGACCGCUUCACGGCGUCGGCGCGGCGGAAAGUGGGACGAACUUGCUCAUUUAUAGGAAGUAAAAGUCGUAACAAGGUUUUCGUAGGUGAACCUGCGGAAG